rnacentral:piRNA from 1 species
UGUGUGUGUGAAUAUGAUGUUAGAUGCCUU